AGUGAACGCUGGCGGUAGGCCUAACACAUGCAAGUCGAACGGCAGCACAGGAGAGCUUGCUCUCUGGGUGGCGAGUGGCGGACGGGUGAGGAAUACAUCGGAAUCUACUCUGUCGUGGGGGAUAACGUAGGGAAACUUACGCUAAUACCGCAUACGACCUACGGGUGAAAGCAGGGGACCUUCGGGCCUUGCGCGAUUGAAUGAGCCGAUGUCGGAUUAGCUAGUUGGCGGGGUAAAGGCCCACCAAGGCGACGAUCCGUAGCUGGUCUGAGAGGAGGAUCAGCCCAACUGGAACUGGGACACGGGCCAGACUCCUACGGGAGGCAGCAGUGGGGAAUAUUGGACAAUGGGCGCAAGCCUGGUCCAGCCAUACCGCGUGGUGAAGAAGGCCUUCGGGUUGUAAAGCCCUUUUGUUGGGAAAGAAAUCCAGCUGGCUAAUACCCGGUUGGGAUGACGGUACCCAAAGAAUAAGCACCGGCUAACUUCGUGUCAGCAGCCGCCGUAA
rnacentral:rRNA from 1 species